AGCGAACGCUGGCGGCAGGCUUAACACAUGCAAGUCGAACGGGUACCUUCGGGUGCUAGUGGCAGACGGGUGAGUAACACGUGGGAACGUACCUUUCGGUUCGGAAUAAUACAGGGAAACUUGUACUAAUACCGGAUACGCCCUUUGGGGGAAAGAUUUAUCGCCGAUAGAUCGGCCCGCGUCUGAUUAGCUAGUUGGUGAGGUAAUGGCUCACCAAGGCGACGAUCAGUAGCUGGUCUGAGAGGAUGAUCAGCCACACUGGGACUGAGACACGGCCCAGACUCCUACGGGAGGCAGCAGUGGGGAAUAUUGGACAAUGGGCGCAAGCCUGAUCCAGCCAUGCCGCGUGAGUGAUGAAGGCCUUAGGGUUGUAAAGCUCUUUUGUCCGGGAAGAUAAUGACUGUACCGGAAGAAUAAGCCCCGGCUAACUUCGUGCCAGCAGCCGCAGUAAAAC
rnacentral:rRNA from 1 species